GGAAUCUUGCGCAAUGGCCGAAAGGCUGAGGCAGCGACGCCGCGUGCGGGAGGACGCUUUUCGGAGUGUAAACCGCUGUCGGGUGGGACGAAGGUCCCGGGGAGGAAAUGUCCUGGGGAUGACGGUACCACCAGAGGAAGCACCGGCUAACUUCGUGCCAGCAGCCGCGGUAAUACGAAGGGUGCGAGCGUUGUUCGGAAUUAGUGGGCGUAAAGCGCACGUAGGCGGCUGGGUAAGUCUGUCUGUGAAAGCCCGGGGCUCAACCCCGUGGAUUGCAGGGGAUACUGCCUGGCUGGAGACAAGCAGAGGUUGGUAGAAUUCCGGGUGUAGCGGUGGAAUGCGUAGAGAUCCGGAGGAAUACCAGAGGCGAAGGCGGCCAACUGGGCUUGUUCUGACGCUGAGGUGCGAAAGCGUGGGGAGCGAAC
rnacentral:rRNA from 1 species